UUCAGUAAACUACAGUUAAGUAAGCUUAAGGUUGUUUUUAAAAGAUACAAGACAUAGCACGCGGGGUGAAAGGUCUACAGAUCGUCAACAUUGUGACAAGAUGAAUUCUCUUGUAGUCUACAUCAUAUACCUUGCCAUCUGGCUCUUCUUCAUUACCCAAGGUUGGGCUCGAAGUUGUAGACGCCAUUGCUCGGUUACAAGGGUUGGUACAAUAUGUCGCACUGAUUGUGGUUGGUGGGCAUAGUGAUUGUUGUGUGAUCAAACGCAUAGUGCAUUUCCUAAAUGGUCGACUGUCACGGUCAAAACUAGCAAGCCAGAAUGAUGAGCCUCAGAUUUGAACGUAUGUAAUAAACAAUGACCAAAAUGGAAAUUAAAAAAUUAAAACUA